UGGUCAAGCUAUUAAGGGCUGCUGGUGGAUGCCUUGGCAUCAACAGGCGAUGAAGGACGUGAUACCUGCGAUAAGCUUCGGGGAGCUGGAAAACGCUUUGAUCCGAAGAAUUCCGAAUGGGGCAACCCGGUGGGAGUAAUUCCCCAUCAUCCUUACCUGAAUACAUAGGGUAAGGAAGCGACACCCGCCGAACUGAGACAUCUCAGUAAGCGGAGGAAAAGAAAUCAAUUGAGAUUCCCUAAGUAGCGGCGAGCGAACGGGGAGAAAGCCCAAACCGAAGUCUCUGGCUUCGGGGUUGUAGGGUCAGACAAAAGAGUGAGAGAAGUUAGCUGAAGCUUCUGGAAAGUUGCGCAAUAUAGGGUGAUAGGCCCGUAGGCGAAAACAUUCUCUUACCAGGUCUGAUUCCUGAGUAGGGCCGGACACGUGAAACCCGGUCUGAAUCUGGGAGGACCACCUUCCAAGGCUAAAUACUCGUUGAUGACCGAUAGUGAACCAGUACCGUGAGGGAAAGGCGAAAAGAACCCCUGUUAGGGGAGUGAAAUAGAACCUGAAACCAGCAGCUUACAAGCGGUUAGAGGCCUAUGCUCCUUUUAGGAGAAUGGCUGAUAGCGUGCCUUUUGCAUGAUGAGCCAGCGAGUUACGUUACAUGGCAAGGUUAAGGGACUUUCGUUCCGGAGCCGAAGCGAAAGCAAGUCUGAAUAGGGCGUCUAGUCAUGUGGCGUAGACACGAAACCAAGUGAUCUAUCCAUGGUCAGGUUGAAGCAAAGGUAACACUUUGUGGAGGACCGAACCAGUAGAUGUUGAAAAAUCUUUGGAUGAACUGUGGAUAGGGGUGAAAGGCCAAUCAAACUUGGAAAUAUCUUGUUCUCUCCGAAAUAACUUUUGGGUUAGCCUCAAGUAUUAAUGAUAUGGGGGUAGAGCACUGGAUUCACGCGGGGGUCUACCGACCUACCAAAGGGAACCAAACUCCGAAUACCAUAUCAAAGCUUGGGAGAUAGACAGUGGGGGAUAAGCUUCAUUGUCGAGAGGGGAACAGCCCAGACCGUCAACUAAGGUCCCUAAUUCUACGCUAAGUGAGAAAGGAAGUAAAGUUUCUUAGACAGUUGGAAUGUUGGCUUAGAGGCAGCCAUCAUUUAAAGAGUGCGUAACAGCUCACCAAUCGAGAGACUUUGCGCCGAUAAUAUGCGGGACUAAGUGUAGAACCGAAGUUACGGGUUCAGUGUAUACUGAGCGGUAGGAGAGCGUAGUUUAUGCGCCGAAGGCAUACCGGAAGGAGUGCUGGAGCGUAAACUAGUGAUGAUGCAUGGCAUAAGUAACGAUUAAGGGGGUGAGAAUCCCCCUCGCCGAAUGCCGAAGGUUUCCAGGGUAAAGGUCGUCUUCCCUGGGUUAGUCGGCCCCUAAGUCGAGGUAGAAAUACGUAGACGAUGGGAAGCAGGUUAAAUAUUCCUGCACCACCUAAAACGAUAGCAAUGGAAUGACGGAGUACGUUAAGCAUGGGGACCAUUGGAAGUGUCCCUAAGACUAUGAGAAAGGCUGGCAGGCAAAUCCACCGGCGUAAUUUCAGGUAGUCUUCAAGUGGAGCCCUCGGGUGAAGCGAUGGUGUAGCGCAAUGCUUCCAAGAAAUAGUUUCUAGCUGUUGAUGGUGACCGUACCAAAACCGACACAGGUUGGCAGGAUGAGUAUUCUCAGGCGCGCGAGUGAACUCUCGUUAAGGAACUCGGCAAAUUAUCCUCGUAACUUCGGGAGAAGAGGAGCCACAGAUGGUGAUUACCCUUGCGGUAUGAGCUGUAGGUGGCCGCAGAGAAAUGGCCCAGGCGACUGUUUACCAAAAACACAGCACUAUGCAAAGCCUAAACGGCGAAGUAUAUGGUGUGAUGCCUGCCCAAUGCCAAAAGGUCAAAGGGAGGGGUUAGCUUUUAGCGAAGCUCCGAACUCAAGCCCUGGUGAAUGGCGGCCGUAACUAUAACGGUCCUAAGGUAGCGAAAUUCCUUGUCGGGUAAGUUCCGACCUGCACGAAUGGCAUAACGAUCUGGGCGCUGUCUCAACGAGAGACUCGGUGAAAUUGUAGUAGCGGUGAAGAUGCCGUUUACCCGCGACGGGACGGAAAGACCCCGUGAACCUUUACUGUACUCUGAUAUUGGCUCCUGACUUAACAUGUGUAGGAUAACCGGGAGGCUUUGAAAGGGCGUCGUCAGGCGUCCUGGAGCCAUCCUUGAAAUACCGGUCUUGUUAAGUUGGGAAUCUAACGAAGUCCCGUGAAUCCGGGAUUCGGACCCUGUCAGACGGGCAGUUUUACUGGGGCGGUAUCCUCCUAAAAGGUAACGGAGGAGUCCAAAGUUUGUCUCAUCAUGGUUGGUAAUCAUGAGUAGAGCGUAAAGGUAUAAGACAAAUUGACUGCGAGACCUGCAAGUCGAGCAGAUACGAAAGUAGGGCUUAGUGAUCCGGCGGUAGAAAGUGGAAUCGCCGUCGCUUAACGGAUAAAAGGUACUCCGGGGAUAACAGGCUUAUCGCCACCAAGAGUUCAUAUCGACGUGGCGGUUUGGCACCUCGAUGUCGGCUCAUCGCAUCCUGGGGCUGGAGAAGGUCCCAAGGGUUUGGCUGUUCGCCAAUUAAAGCGGUACGCGAGCUGGGUUCAAAACGUCGUGAGACAGUUUGGUCCCUAUCUGUCGUGGGCGUAGGAUACUUGAAAGGAGCUGCUUCUAGUACGAGAGGACCGAAGUGGACGAACCAAUGGUGUUCCGGUUGUUCUGCCAAGGGCAUUGCCGGGUAGCUAUGUUCGGAAAGGAUAAGCGUUGAAAGCAUCUAAACGCCAAGCCUCCCUUAAGAUUAGGUAUCCCUAUGAGACCCCAUGAAGACUACAUGGUUGAUAGGCUGGAUGUGCACGCACAGUAAUGUGUUUAGCUUACCAGUACUAAUGGAUCCAUUGGCUUGACCACC
rnacentral:rRNA from 1 species